rnacentral:rRNA from 1 species
CCUACGGGGGGCUGCAGUGAGGAAUAUUGGUCAAUGGGCGCGAGCCUGAACCAGCCAAGUCGCGUGAGGGAUGACGGUCCUACGGAUUGUAAACCUCUUUUGCCGGGGAGCAAGCGUGCGUUCGUGAACGCGCGUCGAGAGUACCCGGAGAAAAAGCAUCGGCUAACUCCGUGCCAGCAGCCGCGGUAAUACGGAGGAUGCGAGCGUUAUCCGGAUUUAUUGGGUUUAAAGGGUGCGUAGGCGGAUCGUUAAGUCAGUGGUCAAAUUGAGGGGCUCAACCCCUUCCCGCCAUUGAAACUGGCGUUCUUGAGUGGAAGAGAAGUAUGCGGAAUGCGUGGUGUAGCGGUGAAAUGCAUAGAUAUCACGCAGAACCCCGAUUGCGAAGGCAGCAUGCCGGCUUCCGACUGACGCUGAAGCACGAAAGCGUGGGGAUCGAACAGGAUUAGAUACCCUAGUAGUC